rnacentral:rRNA from 1 species
UAUAGGAGGUCAACCUGCCCAGUGAUUAUAGAUUCAACGGCCGCGGUAUUCUGACCGUGCAAAGGUAGCGUAAUCAUUAGUCUUUUAAUUAAAGACCUGUAUGAAUGGCCAAACGAAGGCUUAACUGUCUCUCUUUUCAAGUCAGUGAAAUUGAUCUACCCGUGCAGAAGCGGGUAUAAUUAUACAAGACGAGAAGACCCUGUAGAGCUUAAGGUACAAGAUUCAACUACGUCAAACAACUCAAUAAAAAACAAAAACCUUGUAGAAUGAGACUCUACCUUCGGUUGGGGCGACCACGGAGAAAAAUAAAUCCUCCAUAGUGGACUGGGAUAAUUAUCCUAAAACCAAGAGAAACAUCUCUAAGCCACAGAACAUCUGACCAAACAUGAUCCGGCCACAAAGCCGAAUAACGAACCAAGUUACCCCAGGGAUAACAGCGCAAUCCUCUCCCAGAGUUCAUAUCGACGAGGGGGUUUACGACCUCGAUGUUGGAUCAGGACAUCCUAAUGGUGCAGCCGCUAUUAAGGGUUCGUUUGUUCAACGAUUAACAGUCCUACGUGA